rnacentral:rRNA from 1 species
UACGUAGGGACCGAGCGUUGUCCGGAUUCAUUGGGCGUAAAGAGCUCGUAGGCGGCUGCUCAAGUCGAAUGUGAAAACUCGAGGCUCAACCUCGAGCCUGCAUUCGAUACUGGGCGGCUAGAGUCUGGUAGGGGGAUCUGGAAUUCCUGGUGUAGCGGUGGAAUGCGCAGAGAUGUGGAGGAACACCAGUGGCGAAGGCGACUCUCUGGUCUGUAACUGACGCUGAGGAGCGAAAGCGUGGGGAGCAAACAGG